AUUGAACGCUGGCGGCAGGCUUAACACAUGCAAGUCGAACGAGUGGCGGACGGGUGAGUAAUGCUUGGGUAUCUGCCUUAUGGAGGGGGAUAACUACGGGAAACUGUAGCUAAUACCGCGUACCAUAGGAUGAGCCCAAGUGGGAUUAGGUAGUUGGUGUGGUAAAGGCUCACCAAGCCGACGAUCUCUAGCUGGUCUGAGAGGAUGACCGGCCACACUGGGAGUGCAACAAGGCCCAGACACCUACGGUAGGCAGCAGUGGGGAAUGUUGCGCAAUGGGGGCAACCUGACGCAGCCCUGCCACGGGAAUGAAGAAGGCCUUCGGGUUGUAAAGUUCUUUCGGUAGCGAGGCGUUAACUACAGAAGAAGCAACGGCUAACUCCGUGCCAGCCGCGGCGGUAAAC
rnacentral:rRNA from 1 species